UGCCAAAUGAGCUGCCUCAACAAAUA
rnacentral:piRNA from 1 species